UUUUCUGUUGUGGUCCAUGGUACCAUUGCUAUUACUGUCGGGAAGGCCGACGACAUAUGGCCUCGGAUAUUGGGAUGACACAGAGCCAACAGGACCCAAUAACGGUGAAUUUACAGAUGGCGUGUAAAUCCUUCCACCAGAGGAAGGAUCAACGAAAGAAGUUGAUCCAACUGAGAAUGAUGCAGAAGGAAGUGCGAAACUUGUUCCGAAAGGAAAUACAGGAUACUGGAAAGGGGAGGAUUGGAAGGGCACAGCAGGAGAAGAUGACAAUACCGAGCUCCGGUAAACAUCUGGUGUGAAAGGAGAACCAGCAGGACCCAAGAUUCGCUGUGCACCAGGUGUGACUAUUGGGAAUGGCGUCUGCUCCACACGAUCAGGCAAAAUUGAUGGAAGUGUCACAGUUGAAUAAGUACUUCCAGGGGUAAACCACGAAGAGAGAUUCCCCAUUUCCGGAUUGUUCAGUCUGAGGUUAGAAGCAGGCAGUUGAGAACGCAUGCUCCCCUGAUAAUUAUCAUGGAAUAGAGACUGUUCCGCGUUGGACUCAUCAACACUGGGCCCAUUAUUUAAAUCAAAGUCCCUCCUCACAUCCCCAGUUGGCAAGCCAACCGUUGACGCUUUGGAAGGAAAAACAGCACCGUCCAAUCUACAACUGCUACUCACAGAGCACUGUCCUGCAUCACCAGGUUCAUCAAGUCUAUUUAAAUCAAGAUCAAGUCCUCCAGAACAACGAACAGCAGGAGAAUCAAUCACAUCAUUCUUCAAUGAAGCACGACUAGCACUAUGGCCCAAAGGAGAGAUCAGCUCUAGAGCAGAAUCUUGACCAUUUAUGUCGUCAAAGGUUCUUUCAUCUGGUACAUUCAGGUCGAUAUCUAAUUGAGGGCGACUGUGCUUGCCGGUAGAAGCUUCAGCACGAGAGAUGGUUGCUGAACUUAACGGCAUAUCAAGUGAUUUUCUGGGCUCAGCUGGGCGAAAUGCACUUGUGGCAGCAGAGCCUUUCCACCCAAACUCACCUUUGACCCUCAAUAGCUCCUCAGGUGGAACAAACGGACCUUUGGCGGCGGCGGCUACAGUAAUGGAGGCAGGCAGACUACAGGAAACUGAGGAUACAGCAAAAGGCAAUGGGUUCAUAAUAUGGACAUUUGAUAAACAUCCAGGGCCUGUAAGGUUGAUUGGAUCCCCGUAUUUCCCCUCAUCAGAAAAAAAACCUUCAUUUAAGUCAAACUUCACCUUUGAAGCUGACUCUGGAGCAGCAGUAGAGACAAAAGAUAUCUUUGCAUUGGUAGAUCCGCAGUCCUUUUUUUUAUCUGCUUCACCAGCAGAAAAGUUCAAUUCUCUAGAUUCCCCAUGUUUCUGCACUUCUGCAUUUGAAAAUCCAGAUCUAUCUUUCUGAUUGAGUAACAAACCAGAGUUCUGCACAGGAACAACGUUCUUCCUUUCAACACUAGCUUCACCCUUCUGAUUUCUUGUAACUAUGUCAGUUCCAACACGGGCUUUAUCCUCAACUGAAGCUUCAAUAUUUGCUAAGCGCUCUUCCUUGUCACUUCCCUCCAGCUUUUCAGAAUUUACCACUACCGAAGAUGGUUUCGUCUCAGCACUAGCAAUGUUCAACACCCUGUUCAUGCCAUUUUUGUUCUCACUUUCAAAUUUAGAAGUGCAGACUUCAACUGAUGGUUUCUGGUCUUCCAAGCUUGCAACUGUACUAGCGACCUUGUCUCCUAAUACUGAAGCACCAUCUCCACCUAAUUUAGCAUCUAAAGGACCUUCAACUUUGACCUCACGGGACACCACAGUUUCCUCAUGGAAUUGCUUGCUUGCUUCACCAUCAAUUGCCUUCUCAGAUACAGUACGAGGUGAAGAAGCAUACUUUUCCACCUCACCUGACUUCUCAGUGAUCUCCAACUUUUCUCCAGCCGUCUGUGAAUCAAAGCAGGGAGAGUUGAACUGUUUACAUCCACCUGCCAUUGUCUCUUGAGAAGGUGAAACAGAGGCCUUUCUAUCUCCAGGUAACUCAAUUGCAGCACCCAUGGAUGAAAGCAGUUUAUCCUCGGACCAUGAAGCACUAGCAAUAAUGAGUUCCUCUCCAUUACCAUCACCAUCAUCAUUUUUACGGUCACCAGCAGUGAUAUCACCAGGAGGUGACUUUGACUUAGCGUCGUCGCCUGUGCAAGCCUCUUCAGCAGCAGGGGUGUUCCUAUGCGAGGAAACGGAAGGUGAUACCAUGUUAGACUUGGACAUUUCUUCAGCAGCCACACUGGCAAGGAGAUUCAUACCAAUAGCAUCACCCAAUAACAUAGGAACGUUCGAUUCGGAAUAUUUUACACAGCUCUCAAUCAAAGCAUUCAUGGGGCUGUAAGAAGCUUCGUGAAGCUUUCCGGACUUGGCUUCAGUCCCUGAUGUACAAGCAGCUCUAACUUCUGCUGAUCUCCUGCUGUCAUCAACAAUCUUGCUUCGCUCCUCCUCUGUAACAGCAGCUGGUGAUCCAUCUCCAUCAUCAGAACCAGUUAGUAUAUCUUUGAAAUCAUUACUCUGCCAUGAUUCAGCAUUUGCCUCCAAAUUUGAUCGAUCUGCAUCAGUCUUCUCCUUUAAAGUUCGGUCAAAUUGAUCACUCUUCUCAGAAA
rnacentral:misc_RNA from 1 species